ACCUGGGCCUGUGCUCUCUGACAAGCAGGACGGAUCACCGACGGCGUCAGCAGUGGCUCCCAUCCUGCUCUGCUCUGCCCUCUCCAAGGCCCACCUAGCUGCCCCAGGAGCCCCAGGGCCUCUGCUGAAGGCAACAACACCAACAUCACAGGGCUUUGAAAUCAUCGAGUGCGUUUAAUUCGUCAUACAGAAGGAAAACUACACAGGCAGGUUCAAGACAAACACUGUUCUCUAUUCUCACUACCCACUGGACAGUCCUCCUCGGUCCAAAACUAACAGUCUCAAGACACGUCGGCAGCUACGCCUCCCGGUCCCACCUUGCAAAUCCUCCCGUGACAUUUUAGAAAACUGGAACUCAAUCCAAGAGAUAAACAGACCAACGGAAGAGGAACCUGAAGACACUGACAUCGCAAGCCACGCGGUAAUGCGCAACUGGCAUAGAGAGUGACCGAUAGAAGACGUAUGCCUCACACAGUUCACUUUGUUCAUCAAUAAAAGAAUAUAAAAAUCUGUUCAACCCAGUGUUGAGUGUAUUAAAAUAGAUCUGUAUCACACAGCACAGUUUCUCCCGGAGUCGUGAAAAUGACAGGAGGGACCGUGGCCGGCUUAGGGUUCUGGCCAGCCUCCUCACUCUGCACCUGUGUCUGCGUGUGUCAGUGGUCACACACACGCACACACACCUGUGUAAUGCAAUUCGGCACCGUGUGAUAGGCUCAGGCAGGAGCUCUGCAGCUCCCGGGUGCUUAUCCCAUUGUGCUAAGUCCCUCAGGACCAGAGAGGGUGGAGGGCGUGGCGAGAGGCACAGCCCACCCCCGGGGCCAGAGCCCUUAUAACACUGUGGGACCCUCAGCUCUCAGCUGAUGCAAGGAGAGGUAAAGGAGGGGACUCCCAAGUUUCCAAAGGCCAGACCCUACAGAGGCCACCGCCCUUUCUUCCUCCCCAGGCUCCCCUGGUUCUUAAAAAGCCCUCUGGACCAGCUCCAGUCUGGCCAACCUCCGAGGGCCAGUUCUCCCACUCACACCUGGCAGCAGAGACUCCCGUAGGCAGAAAGGAGUCAGCAAGCACCCCCUUCACAUUAAAUAUCUCACAAUAAAAACGCCAUAUAAAAAUGCGAGGUUACUUUUUGGCAUAGUGUCUGUACUGGCAAGAGAAAAGGAGUGGGGUGGAUGCGCACUGGCUCUUCGCGAGGAGAACGUGAAGGCUUCGGCCAUUGGUCGAAUGAUUCGGCUCAGAGCAGAAAGCCUGUCAACGCCUCCACUGCAUGGCCGCAGCUCGAUCCUGCCCAAAAACUCCAUGAAAAACACAUCGACGGCAAACAAUUAUAGAGACCUCCGCCGCCACCAC